rnacentral:tRNA from 1 species
AAGUAAAGUGGUUUAAAGAAAAUAUAAGUUUGUCAUUCUUAAGAUACACAUUAGUGUUUUUACUUU